UGGGGAAUAUUGGACAAUGGGCGAAAGCCUGAUCCAGCCAUGCCGCGUGUGUGAAGAAGGUCUUCGGAUUGUAAAGCACUUUAAGUUGGGAGGAAGGGCAUUAACCUAAUACGUUAGUGUUUUGACGUUACCGACAGAAUAAGCACCGGCUAACUCUGUGCCAGCAGCCGCGGUAAUACAGAGGGUGCAAGCGUUAAUCGGAAUUACUGGGCGUAAAGCGCGCGUAGGUGGGUUGUUAAGUUGGAUGUGAAAGCCCCGGGCUCAACCUGGGAACUGCAUCCAACACUGGCAAGCUAGAGUACGGUAGAGGGUGGUGGAAUUUCCUGUGUAGCGGUGAAAUGCGUAGAUAUAGGAAGGAACACCAGUGGCGAAGGCGACCACCUGGACUGAUACUGACACUGAGGUGCGAAAGCGUGGGGAGCAAACA
rnacentral:rRNA from 1 species